rnacentral:lncRNA from 1 species
AGAAAUUUUCAGCUCAUGAGGAACAUGGAAUGUCGAAACAGGAUCAUACAUCAGUCACGGCAAGGGAUGCAGCUGAAGGUAUCCAAUCCAUCAAGAAUUCAGAAAUAGUACAACUGUCUUCUAUUGGUACAAGCAACUCUACUGAAGCACGACCUGAUGAUACAUUGAUUGCACCAGAAGGUGCCAUGGUGAGGUAUGCAGCUGAAGGUAGCAAAUCCAUCGAGAAUUCAGAAAUAAUACAGUUUUCUGCUGGUACGAGUAACUCUACUGAAGCACGACCUGAUGAUACAUUGGUUGCACUUGCACCAAAAGGUGCCAUGGUGAGGUAUGCACCUGAAGGUAGCCAGUCCAUCGAGAAUUCAGAAAUAACACAGCUGUCUUCUAUUGGUACAAGCAACUCUACUGAAGCACGACCUGGUGAUACAUUGAUUGCACCAAAAGGUUCUGAGGUUACUCCAACGUCCAAGUUUGUUCCAAGCAGAACACACUGCUCUGGCGACUCCUUGCUGCAGAG